UACAGGGGGGGCAAGCGUUGUUCGGAAUUACUGGGCGUAAAGGGCUCGUAGGCGGCCAACUAAGUCCGACGUGAAAUCCCAAAGCUUAACUUUGGAACUGCGUCGGAUACUGGAUGGCUUGAAUUCGGGAGAGGGAUGCAGAAUUCCAAGUGUAGCGGUGAAAUGCGUAGAUAUCUGGAGGAAUACCGGUGGCGAAGGCGGCAUCCUGGACCGACAUUGACGCUGAGGAGCGAAAGCGUGGGGAGCGAACAGG
rnacentral:rRNA from 1 species